rnacentral:rRNA from 1 species
GUAGGGUGCGAGCGUUAAUCGGAAUUACUGGGCGUAAAGCGUGCGCAGGCGGUUGAUUAAGACAGGCGUGAAAUCCCCGGGCUUAACCUGGGAACUGCGCUUGUGACUGGUCAGCUAGAGUACGGCAGAGGGGGGUGGAAUUCCACGUGUAGCAGUGAAAUGCGUAGAGAUGUGGAGGAACACCGAUGGCGAAGGCAGCCCCCUGGGCCGAUACUGACGCUCAUGCACGAAAGCGUGGGUAGCAAAC